rnacentral:rRNA from 1 species
AUGAACGCUAGCGACAGGCCUAACACAUGCAAGUCGAGGGGCAGCACAAGGAGCAAUCUGAGGUGGCGACCGGCGCACGGGUGAGUAACACGUAUGCAACCUGCCUGUAAGCGGGGAAUAACCCGUUGAAAGACGGACUAAUACCGCAUAAUACUAAAUUACUGCAUGGUAAUUUAUUUAAACAUUUAUGGCUUACAGAUGGGCAUGCGCAUGAUUAGCUAGUUGGAGAGGUAACGGCUCCCCAAGGCAACGAUCAUUAGGGGUUCUGAGAGGAAGGUCUCCCACACUGGUACUGAGACACGGACCAGACUCCUACGGGAGGCAGCAGUGAGGAAUAUUGGUCAAUGGACGAGAGUCUGAACCAGCCAAGUCGCGUGCAGGAAGAAUGUCCUAAUGGAUUGUAAACUGCUUUUGCAGGGGAAUAAAGUGCAUCACGUGUGAUGUUUUGUAUGUACUCUGCGAAUAAGGAUCGGCUAACUCCGUGCCAGCAGCAGC